AUAAAAAGAAGCGUAAAAGAAAAAAUUAAAAAGCCAAUUGGAUCUAACUGAAAAAAAGUGGUAAGCUGCAGAGUAGACUUCAAUCGACAAACCAUGACAGACCAUAUGGAAUUACAGAGGGGAGAAAGAGCUGGAGGAUGAGGAGGGGAGCUGAGGAGAGAUGUGGUGACCCGCUGUCUCUGGAAUUGACAAAAUUGUUGUGAUCUCACAACACCAGACCACAUUCAGGCCUCUGAACCCCAGAACAGAUGAUGGAGCGGUCCGCGGUUCCACCUCUUAAGGUAGGGUCUCCGAGGCUCCACCCCCUUAAGGCAGGAUCUCCGAGAGUCCACCCCCUUAAGGGAGGACCUCCGAGACUCCACCUCUUAAGGGAGGACCUCCGAGGCUCCACCCCUAGCUUGUGCACUUGGCCUCCCUGAUGUGGGCAAGAUUGAUCUUGUUAGCGGUUGCAUGAGAAAAUGCAAGAUUCAAUGCUUAUGAUAUCUGCUGGCUCUGCAAAAUUUCGUUAUCAAAUGGUCACAGGUUUAGUUCCUAUGAUGCUCUCUGGUAUAAAAGCGGUUAUCUUUACAGGUUAGAUGUCCCGAGAAACGGGAGGAACUGACCAGUACAAACUUUCAAAUCUUGAAAACGAAGCCAUGCCAUUAGUACAUCCGACGCGGGAUGGCAAGAUGGCUCAACCAGGCUCCACACACACUUGGCAAUACCCGGGGGGUAAAAACUGUGCAAUCCCCCAUUGCACGAGGGACCCAGCUGUAUGUGGAAGGAUAGACACACCUAGACAUAAAGGGAUGGGAGAAAGUAGGCCACGUAAUUAACCACUUUUUGCAGGAUCGGUGUGCUAAUAUCAGGCAAAAAUAGGCUGCAAUACAAAAAAAAAAAAAAAAUAGGAGUCAUUAGCAGGGACCGUCGGUGUGGUAUGAUUUAUGGGUCAAUUUCCAAGGAAGACACAAUUCCAAUCUGUAUUCGCCUAAUAGAAUUGUCUCAAAAUAUGUAAAGCAUUGUCUGAUAGAGUUAUGGGAGAGACUGAUGAGCCCCCCCCCCAUCCCGCUGGGAGGUUUUGCAUUCCAUCUCUCAAUAAUGGAUAAAGCAAGCAGAGUUUCUUUCUAACGAUGUAGGAGAAUUCAACAGCCUCGCUGCCAGGUACGAUGGGAACCUGUAACCUGCAAAUUAGGCGUGGGGGGUGCUGACUGUUCAGGCCGGCAGACAGCAUUUACAAAUGUGAGUCCCCUGGUCUAGGAAGCCCCCAAGAUGCCCGUUACCAAAAUCAAAUGUUGGAGCGUGACACCCGGGGCCAUCUGCUGGGCAUGCCUGGAGGUUGACUUUUCUCAUUAGAUUUUGGUCACCUUGACGCAACCUAGAACCAUCUGGAAAUCCCAGCUGAGAAAACGCUUCCAUCAGAUUGGCAUGUGGUGAAGUGGGGCGAGGUGCACGCUGGGAAUGUGCGGUGGUUGCCAUGGCAACCCUUGUCACCUAGGGGGUGACAUCGUUGCUCGAUUCAGAGAUGGCCAUAAAGCCAGUUUCUGAUGCCCACAAUUUAUCAUCAUCAUCAUCAUCAUCACCAUCAUCAUCAUCAUCACCAUCAUCAAUUGGCGUGGAAAGGUGGGCUGCACCACUACUGUGAAGGUUGCCCUAGGAUGUAUAAGAACGAGGCUAACCAAGCCAUGGGAGCAAGCCACUGAGCAGUGUUCCUUCAGAGCCAUUGCCCUGUUCCGGCCCCCAGGUCCCCACUCUGGCUUCUUCCCUCGGUGAUGCCCUGUGAACUGUAAGAUGAAUCGAACCCUUUCCUUCCCAGGUUGCUGUUGGUCCCCAUGCUCAUUGCAGCAGCAGAGGGCAAACCAGGACACGGACCUAAUCUAACCAGCCCCUCCUACGUGUAUGCAGAGGCCUGACCUGUAGACAGUUCCAGUUCCCAUCACAUGGUGACGCUGGCCGUCAUGGCUGGGCAUGACAGGGAAGCUCCCCUCUGCCAGGGUGUUCCAAGUCUGGAACAAGCGUCUCCUUAACUCAGAGAGAGUGAGGCUGGGUCUGAAGACGCUCACAUUGCUGAGUUAGCCUGGAGACAUUUGGAGGUCUACGGACAGCGGAGGUGACGUCUACAGGGUGGUGUGACAGCAACUGACAUGGGCCCAGAACACACGAACUGGGUGUGGGACUCAGGAAUUGCUUGGACCCUUUAGAUCUCACUAAGGCUUCCCCAAGACAGUGGCAAUAUUAUUCUCUUCAGACCGGAGACUUUGUUCCUAAAAUGCUCAGCAGACUAUUGAUGGUAGCAUCUAGCCUUGCUCAACUCUGCAAGUGACCAGGUCCAGGGGACAAGGCCUCUCUACUCACAAAUGAAAUCUCUCACUGAACCUGGAGCUCCCAGACUGUGUAGACUGACCAGCUAACGACCUCACCACCCUUGCCUCCACAGCACCGAAUCACAGAUGUGCAUGAUCACACCUGUCCUUUUUACAUGGAUUCUGGGAACUUAAUUCCAGGUCCUAUAUUUAUGCUGCAAACAUUUUCCCAGCUCUGCCAGCGCCCCUACAGACCCCAGUGUCACUUAUUGUAAUGAGGGAUGUGAGCCGAUGGUGAGUGCUGAUUCAGCUCUUCUGGGUUACGUGGACCGUGGACCGCUGUGCAGGGCACAUGGGGCAGAAGUCCUGACCCAUUUGGGGUUUUCCAAAAUGGCAGGAGAGUUGCGUAGGAGGGACAGCAAUGACAAAUGUAGAGCUUCAUCUACACACAGGCAAAGAUAUCUGUUCCUCCAAGAUACCUGGUUGUCUCUGAGCAAGUAUCCACAGGGUACAAGGCCGCACGGGCAAACUUACCUACCUUCAGCCUCGGCUAUGCUAUGGGGCUGUUCCCUGGCUGCUCACCAGAGACCCAGGAAUGGAGUUCUUACCCUGUGGGGUACUGGGAUCAGGGAUAAGAUUCCUUUUAGUUGUAUAGACUUGAACUUGAGCUACAGAUCCUCACAGCCCAUUACACGUCCCAGAACUCACCGUAUCCAGCCAACAGCCAUCUAUCGGAUGGCCACUGAGAGGUUCCAGGACUCAAGAAAACCACAAGCGUGUGAGCCCCCUCCCUCCACCGUGUCAGAGCCUCCCUCUGUGUUCUACACUCCCGCUGGAUACAUCAGUAUACGCUCCACCCUGGGACCAGGUCACCCUUUGGCCACCGUGAGGGCACAAAUGAGACUCGGUCAUUCCAGCAUCCCGAGCAGGCCGUAGAAGAAGGUUUGCUGUUGAUGAAUCAAUACCAGUGAGUGACUCUCUUUCCACGGCAGGAAUUCCGGGGAUACAAACGCAUCUCAGAUUAAAGAACACGUGUAAGAGAAUGAAGUAGCUUAUCACAAGCAUUUACCGUCUUCAGCGCAGACAGGAUGACAGGAGAGACCAGGCAGGGGUCAUGGGGGGCGCGUCUCACCAUCAAAAGUCGUAUCGACUGGAGUCCAUUAUGACAACCUCUGAGUGAAAAGGUGGGCAGGCUCCGAAGCAUUAGUGAGCUUCCCAAAUACAAGGAAAUUGAUCCGUGACAAAUUAAUCCUGGCAGCUUUCAUUUUCGAUUUCCUUUCUGAUUAUACGGGAUCAUUAAAAUGAACCCAAAUAGAAAGGAAUAAGAUGGGACAGCAAGAGAGGUACGGGUGCCGAGUAUCGAUUCCUUUCAAACAUAGUUGAAGAGUAGAUUUAAUUUAACUAAAUGGUGUUAGCCAUACUGAUGUCGUAAUCAUACUACUUCUGGGGACCCUGCCGCUCAGGGCUCCUUGGCAGAUCCUGGCCUGGGACUGAGGUCUCUCUUCUCACAGAGAGAUGGGGACUAAGGUAUGGCACUCACAGUGGACCCUGCGGAGGGCAUCUCAGCCAGUGAGAGCAGCCGCUAGGUGGGCUGCUAAGAAGCACCUUUUGGGGUUCUCCAACAUGAGGGGGACCUGGGUGAGAGGAUAGGGAAGUGUACUGGCUGGGUCUAUGUGUGUCAACUUGACAGAGACUGGAGUUACCACAGAGAAAGGAGUUUCAGGUGAGGAAAUGCCUCCAUGAGAUCCAGCUGUGGACAUUUUCUCAAUCAGUGAUCAAGGGGGGAGGGCCCCUUGUGGAUGGUGCCAUCCCUGGGCUGGUGGUCUUGGGUUCUAUAGGAAAGCAAGCUGAGUAAGCCAAGGGAAGCAAGCCAGUAAGAAACAUCCCUCCAUGGCCUCUGCAUCAGCUCCUGCUUCCUGACCUGCUUGAGUUCCAGUCCUGACUUCCUUUGGUAAUGAACAGCAGCAUGGAAGUGUUAGCUCAAUAAACCCUUUCCUCCCCAACUUGCUUCUUGGUCAUGAUGUUUGUGCAGGAAUAGAAACCCUGACUAAGACAGGAAGGCUGUGCUCUGACUGUGUCCCCACCAAGUUCAUGCAUUGGACAUGGACACCCCCACCCCAAAGCAUCUGUGUUAAGAGGCGGGGCCUUUAAGUGAAGCCUGGCUCACACUUGUUCAGUCCCCCACAAGAUUGGGUGAACAUGCUCUAUGACAGUUUAGAUAGGAAAUGUCGCCCACAGGCUCAUGGGUUUGAGCAUC